GACGAACGCUGGCGGCGUGCUUAACACAUGCAAGUCGAACGGAAAGGCCUGCUUUCCCUUGUGGAUUGCGGGUGCUCGAGUGGCGAACGGGUGAGUAACACGUGAGUGAUCUGCCCCCAACUUGGGUAUAAGCCUGGGAAACUGGGUCUAAUUCCCGAUAGGACUGCAGGGUGGUGCCUGUGGUGGAAAACGAUUUUCUAGUGGUUGGGGAUGAGCUCGCGGCCUAUCAGCUUGUUGGUGGGGUAAUGGCCUACCAAGGCGGCGACGGGUAGCCGGCCUGAGAGGGUGGACGGCCGCAUUGGGACUGAGAUACGGCCCAGACUCCUACGGGAGGCAGCAGUGGGGAAUAUUGCACAAUGGGCGGAAGCCUGGUGCAGCGACGCCGCGUGGGGGAUGACGGCCUUCGGGUUGUAAACUCCUUUCGACCGCGAGGAAGCCACCUGGUUGGAAGGGUGGUGACGGUAGUGGUAGAAGAAGCACCGGCUAACUACGUG
rnacentral:rRNA from 1 species